AUACGUAGGUGGCAAGCGUUAUCCGGAUUUACUGGGUGUAAAGGGCGAGUAGGCGGGACUGCAAGUCAGGUGUGAAAUACGGAGGCUCAACCUCCGAAUUGCAUUUGAAACUGUGGUUCUUGAGUGAUGGAGAGGCAGGCGGAAUUCCCGGUGUAGCGGUGGAAUGCGUAGAUAUCGGGAGGAACACCAGUGGCGAAGGCGGCCUGCUGGACAUUAACUGACGCUGAGGAGCGAAAGCGUGGGGAGCAAACAGGAUUAGAUACCCUGGUAGUCCACGCUGUAAACGAUGGAUACUAGGUGUGGGAGGUACUGACCCCUCCCGUGCCGCAGCAAACGCAAUAAGUAUCCCACCUGGGGAGUACGGCCGCAAGGUUAAA
rnacentral:rRNA from 1 species